UUGCAGUGAUGACUAUCUUAGGACACCUUUGGAUUGAAGAUGAAACUAAUUUGUUAAUCUGAGCAGC